rnacentral:rRNA from 1 species
UACGAAGGGAGCUAGCGUUGUUCGGAAUCACUGGGCGUAAAGCGCACGUAGGCGGAUGUGUCAGUCAGGGGUGAAAUCCCGGAGCUCAACUUCGGAACUGCCUUUGAUACAGCACGUCUUGAGUCCGAUAGAGGUGGGUGGAAUUCCUAGUGUAGAGGUGAAAUUCGUAGAUAUUAGGAAGAACACCGGUGGCGAAGGCGGCCCACUGGAUCGGUACUGACGCUGAGGUGCGAAAGCGUGGGGAGCAAAUAGG